rnacentral:rRNA from 1 species
GACGAACGCUGACGGCGUGCUUAACACAUGCAAGUCGAAGGGAGUGGCGAACGGGUGAGUAACAAGUGAGUAACCUGCCCUUUUCUUUGGGAUAAGCCUGGGAAACUGGGUCUAAUACGGGAUGGAUUGGGAUGGGCUCGCGGCUUAUCCGCUUGUUGGUGGGGUGAUGGGUUACCAAGGCUUUGCCGGGUAGCCGGCCUGAGAGGGCGGUCGGUCACACUGGGACGGCGCUACGGCCCAGACGCCUACGGGAGGCAGCAUUGGGGGAUAUUGCACAAUUGACGAAAGUCUGAUGCAGCGACGUCGUGUGGGGGAUGAAGACCUUCGGGUUGUAAACUCCUUUCGCCCGCGGAAUGGUAGUGGGUAAAGAAGCGCCGGCUAACUACGUGCCAGCAGCCGCGGUAAUUC